GACGAACCGUGCGAACGUUGUUCGGAAUCACUGGGCUUAAAGGGCGCGUAGGCGGCUUUCUAAGUCAGGGGUGAAAUCCUGGAGCUCAACUCCAGAACUGCCUUUGAUACUGGAGAGCUUGAGUCCGGAAGAGGUGAGUGGAACUCCGAGUGUAGAGGUGAAAUUCGUAGAUAUUCGGAAGAACACCAGUGGCGAAGGCGGCUCACUGGUCCGGUACUGACGCUGAGGUGCGAAAGCGUGGGGAGCAAACAGG
rnacentral:rRNA from 1 species